CAAGUCGAGCGAACAGAUAAGGAGCUUGCUCCUUUGACGUUAGCGGCGGACGGGUGAGUAACACGUGGGUAACCUACCUAUAAGACUGGAAUAACUCCGGGAAACCGGGGCUAAUGCCGGAUAACAUGUUGAACCGCAUGGUUCUACAGUGAAAGACGGUCUUGCUGUCACUUAUAGAUGGACCCGCGCCGUAUUAGCUAGUUGGUGGGGUAACGGCCUACCAAGGCGACGAUACGUAGCCGACCUGAGAGGGUGAUCGGCCACACUGGAACUGAGACACGGUCCAGACUCCUACGGGAGGCAGCAGUAGGGAAUCUUCCGCAAUGGGCGAAAGCCUGACGGAGCAACGCCGCGUGAGUGAUGAAGGUCUUCGGAUCGUAAAGCUCUGUUGUUAGGGAAGAACAAAUGUGUAAGUAACUGUGCACAUCUUGACGGUACCUAACCAGAAAGCCACGGCUAACUACGUGCCAGCAGCCGCGGUAAUACGUAGGUGGCAAGCGUUAUCCGGAAUUAUUGGGCGUAAAGCGCGCGUAGGCGGUUUUUUAAGUCUGAUGUGAAAGCCCACGGCUCAACCGUGGAGGGUCAUUGGAAACUGGAAAACUUGAGUGCAGAAGAGGAAAGUGGAAUUCCAUGUGUAGCGGUGAAAUGCGCAGAGAUAUGGAGGAACACCAGUGGCGAAGGCGGCUUUCUGGUCUGCAACUGACGCUGAUGUGCGAAAGCGUGGGGAUCAAACAGGAUUAGAUACCCUGGUAGUCCACGCCGUAAACGAUGAGUGCUAAGUGUUAGGGGGUUUCCGCCCCUUAGUGCUGAUCAGCUAACGCAUUAAGCACUCCGCCUGGGGAGUACGGUCGCAAGACUGAAACUCAAAGGAGAGUUGACGGGGACCCGCACAACGGUGGAGCAUGUGGUUUAAUUCGAAGCAACGCGAAGAAC
rnacentral:rRNA from 1 species